ACCUGGCUGGCUCAGUUGGUAGAGCAUGUGACUCUUGAUCUCAUGAUUCUAAGUUCGAGCCUCGCGUUGGGUA
rnacentral:tRNA from 1 species